rnacentral:lncRNA from 10 species
GCAAGUGGGGUCACAAGUGACUGUGAGGUGACCUGUGAGCCUAUGAGUUUCAUCAGUACAAAGCGCGAGACUUUCAUUGAUGGGAAUUAACAGAAUCUCAAGAAUGAAUUGCUGCGAAGAAGUCUAUCUCCCAUAUGGCUUUUAGGACACUUUGCAGUAUGCUCAGAUCAAGCAAUAUGGACCUGAAAAGGAAAAGAAAAAAAAAAGAAAGCAACCAGUCUCCUUCAUAUGAAAAUCUCUGUGGCAUUCUGGGUAACUGCAAUACAAAGAAUAGUGUGAUGGUUUGGCUUUCAAAGAUACUGUUAGUGGCAUUUCUACAGGUUGUUUUGAUUGUCUGUGAAUGCUGAGAGGUUUUUUUUGGUGUAAAUGUUUAUUGCUUUUUUCUAAAUAUAAAAUAAGUCUAUGUUCACUGAAGAAAAUUUGGUAAGUGCAGGAGAGUACAUGGAAGACAAUGUACAAUAACCCCGUUUGGUUUUCCAAAUUGUUUUAUAUCCUUAUUUUGUUCAGUGUCACCACAUUUUUUUUUUUUUUAAUGAGAUAGAGUCUUGCUCUGUCGCCCAGGCUGGAGUACAGUUGUGCAAUCUGGGAUCACUGCAGCCUCCACCUCCCGGGUUCAAGCAAUUCUUCUGCCUCAGCCUCCCGUGUAGCUGGGAUUACAGGCACCUGCCACCGCGCCCAGCUAAUUUUUGUACUUUUAGUAGAGAUGGGAUUUCACUAUGUUGGCCAGGCUGGUCUUGAACUCCUGACCUCGUGAUCCACCCUCCUCGGCCUCCCAAAGUGUUGGGAUUACAGGCGUGAGCCACCACGCCCGGCUGAAAACAUGGUUUGUAAUGGCUCCAUAAUUUAUAAUAAUAGUACCAUGUGCCUGUUUUCUUAUAAGAUAUUUAGGGUAUUUCUAUUUUUAAUGGAAAUAUUGUUAUAAAUAAUGUGAUAACUGUGAAUAUGUAUAUUUGACUAUAUUCCUUAUUACUUCAUUUGGAUAGAUAUUCCAAAACUGGCAUUACUAGGUCAGAAAUUAUGAAUCUGUUUUAAUAACCUUGCUACAUACUUUUGUAUUGGUUUAUAAAGUCUCUGCUAUAUGUUACUACCACCACUAUAUGUGGAGUGUAUGUGAAUUUCAUCCUCAAAUUCUUCAAUAUUCUAGUAGUUGGUAGUUUUUUUUACAUCUUUGCCAUUUCAACACAUAUAAAAUAAUAAAAUUAAUAUCAAUAUGUUCCUAAUUAUUAAAACAAUGUAUUUUUCCCCUUGUAUGUAGUCCAUUAAUGCUGAAGUUUAGUGGCUUGGUUUAAUAACCUUUCCCCAAACCCAUAUUCUGUAUAACAGAAAUUUCUUUGGAAAAAUUUCAGAAUAUACAUCUCUUUGUAGUAACCUGGGAAAUAAUUUUUCUCUUAGGACAUUUGCAUACUGCAUGGAAAUCUGGCCAGAACUUGAACAGAUGGUUCCAAAACUUGGGGUACCUUAAACUUAAACAUCAGUGUAACUUGGGGUCCUCUGCAAGGUCAUCCGCAAGGACUGUGAAAGUCCUGCUUCUUGGUAUCAUUUCCUGACAGGUGUGUGUUAAUGUUUCAGGAAUAUACUGGAGUGUACUGCUUUUUUAUUCCUGAUUCUGCUCACAAACUUGUCAUUUAUUUGACCACUGACUGUUGAGAUUAGGAUGCUCUCAAUAAGGCAUAUUUGGAUCAUGUUUAUCUCAAAACUGCUUCUACUAGAGGCUUUUGUGGCUUGCUUUCACAUAUCAGGGUUACUGCUAAUGUGUCCCUAAUACUUUGUUGAGAAGGUGAAAGUGGUAGUUGAAGUCACUUUAAAGUCAGUCCUAGGAAUGCCUCUCAAAUUCUCCCUGGUUUUCUAUUUUCUAAGUUACCAUUUAUUGAGCACCUCUUGCAUGCCAUGCACAUUUCACACUUGAUCUCGCUUAAGCAUUAUUACAAUCCAAUAGAGUUUGGAUAACGAUGCAUUUUCACAGACAAAAGUAACCUCAGAGAGAUUAAGUCAUUUGCCUGGAGACAUAGAGAUUAUAAAUAAUGGUUGAUAAAUACACAGAGGCUCAAGAUUCCUGUUUGGUAAUUACAGAGGCUGUAGAAAUAGACAUGUCAAGGGCUCUCAACUACUGAGUCUCCAAAAGUCAACUGGGAAUCUUUUAAUUAUUUACAUCCAGGAAAAAUCUUUUACCUAUUCCCUGAAUAAAAUAUAACAUGUUUUAAGGUCAUUUUCCAAACUUUCUUGCUUUAGGUUAAUCAUUAGUGAGAGACCCCAACAUUUCUCAGAUUGUGUGCAAACCCUGAAAUGAUAGCAGAAAUUUACACAGUGACCCCAGACAGUUAGAUUUAUCCUGUAGCUUGGGUUGAGCACCUUAAAUUUAUAUCCAUAUAUGUCUUGCAAAUUCUUUUGCUUUGUGGCUUAGUAGCAAGGCAUUUACCCUCUGGACAGUGCAGUCAGGUGUGCCCAUAAAAACAGGAGUUGAUCAUUUAUGAAAGCUGACUGUGGAAUAAGCUAAAGGUGCUUUGAGGACAUGCUUUUAGUGUCCACUCUUAGAAACCUGUAUUUCAACUUCCCUGGAGCUCAGGAUUUUAAAGAUCAAGCUUCCUAGCCUCUUCAGCCUCUGCAAGUUCAGAUAACCUGUUGCUAUUUUUGAAUAUAAAUAGGCCUUAUUAGGGAUUAAAAGAACUGCCCAGAGGUUUUUCCCCUUUUCUCAUUUUGGUGUUUGGAUUGUCAGCGGAAGUCUUGAGCUUUGAGACUUGGCAAGGCAGCGCCUUCAAACAAACAUCCUGUGGACAAAAUUGUCUGGCCCAGCACUCGGUGUUCCAGGAUGAUUGACAGGAAGCAGCAUGUGCUGGGAGGAGGGAGGAUGGACACUCUGAGCACGGUGGCUUCCAGUUCCCUCAAACAAUAGCCAAGCUCCCAGGGAGCCUCACACCUUCUUUUUCCCAUCUACUGGGGUGGUGGGGGUUAGGGAGGAUGUGGGCUGGGCAGGAGGUGAGAGGAACCUUGGAAUUCCACCCAGCAAUUACAAAUAACCAACCAAAACCUUUCGAUAAUGCUUCAACUUGAGGGAUAGGAAGAUACAGCUAUGCAGAGAUCUGGGAUGAUGCUUGAAUCAAGCAGUGAGCCAAAAGGAGCCAUCCAAAGCUAAAGCCAACACUGGUCACCUUGUGGAAUGGGGCUUGAUGAAGUGAGCAGAAGUGAGGAGAGAUCUGGAAGGGUGAAAAGAAGUGAAAUGAAACUCACACGUAAAAGAAAAUGAACAUUUAAAAGAAAUCCAGCUAUAUGCCAGGAUUUUGCAUAUGUGUUUGCUUUUGGUCCUGUUGCAGGUAUUUGAGGCAGGUAUUAUAUGAAUUCUUUCAGAUGAAACUGAGGCUCAGAGAAGCUAAAUAAAAUUAUCCAAUGUGACAAACUUAGACCAUGGCACAACUAGUAUUUGAGUUCCAGUCCUUUGGACCCUCAAAACCCAUGCAUUUUCCUCUAUUACAUUUCCUCUCUAAACUUGUCUAAAUCCUACCCUCUUCUUUCUCUGCUUCAGUCCUGGUGGGGAAUAUAUAGAAGAGAACUUAUCACCCUAGCUCAGUCUCCUACAACUUCCAAUUUAUAUCUUCCAUUCCUGUCUUCCCAAACCUUUCACCAUUGUCUGAAUCAUCAGGUAUUUCCAUAUCUCUGGGUCUUUAUCAUGUUGUCUUCUCUGCUACAAUGACUUUCUCUUCAUUCACCCUAAUACAAUCUACCAUGCACCCUUCAAAGUACAGUUCAAAUGCCAACUUCUUCAAACAGCUCGUGUAUCUUACUGUCUCUCACUCUCCCAAGGAGGAUCAGUACCUUCCUGACACAGUAGUCUUACAGUAAUUUGUGUCUAUCUCUGUUAUAAUUAUCACAUGUUACUUGGAAUCUGAAUAUCCCUAGUUAUUACUAAAUCAUGAACAACAAUAACUGAAAUCACCAUAAAAUCUAGACCUAUCUUUUGGUGACUUGAUUGUGGCCCAUUUGGGCAAGUGUUAGGCUUCAAUCCUAACAUUGAUAGAAGGAGAUCUAUCCCUCUAUCUCUGAGAGUCCCCAAUUGAUUCCUUACGAUACUUUAUGAAUUAAUAUAAGAAGAAAGGGUGGGCAGAGACAUUGGAGGAACAGUGGAAAAGUGAAUCUCUGUCUAAUUCCUUCCUUCCUUCCUUCCUUCCUUCCUUCCUUCCUUCCUUCCUUCCUUCCUUCCUCCCUUCCUUCCUUCUUUCCUUCCUUCCUUCUAUAGUUACUAAGUAUCACCUAAGAGUUUUGUGCUAGGGUAGAUGCUGAGGACACAAUGGUGAGCAGAACCCACACUUCUUCUGCUGCUGUGGAGUUAGGGUCCAUUGAGGAAGACAAACAUUACAAAUACAACUCACAAAAUAUACAAUCGUGAAUUGUACUAGAUGCUAUUUAAAAAAAUGACAAAGGGGCUACAUGAACCUAAUUCUGAUGGACUUGACCUAGUCUCAGGAACAGGUAGGUGGUGGUUGACAGUUUAAAGUGAACUUUCAGGAAAAGGAGUUAAAUCGAUCUGAAAAGUGAUCAGGUUGCCACUAAAUCUUUAAAGGCAAGAGGUGUUGCUCUUGUUCAUAGAAGACAAGGUACAGAGGGAGUGCCUCUUCCAUCAGGAGGAGGAGAGAUAACAGUCUCAUAAGAGAAUGCUCUGUUUUUGGCACUGCCAAGAUUCGGCUCCUAUGAUGAAAUCUCAGAAUAGAAAAAUUAGAAAAGGGCACACCUCCUAUUCUCAGAAUGGAAAGAAUAGCAAGGUGCCCACUUCAUAUUCUUUCAUGCUCAGUCAGAAAAACAGUAGAACAUUGAAAGUUGAUGAUGAAAUUCAUGAAUUUUUUUUUCAAGUUGCAUUCCCCCUAAAACCUCCUACGGCUAUAUAAGGUCAGCUUUUGUGAUAGAUAUAUAUGUAUGUACACACACAUAUACGUUAUAUAUCAUUGUCUGUUUAUUAAACCUCUUCCCUUCAAUUUGCAGCAAGACUAAUUGUUUUUUGUUUUAUAUAUUCUUAGGAUUGUUGAUAAUGGAGGGAAAAUGAGGGAUGGGAAUGGAGGUGGUGGAGGUGAUCAAAUGGCCCACUCAGAAUUAUCCUAUGCAUCAAAAUACUUAGGGAUAAUUCACGGACUGUAGCCUUUCACAUGAACAUCCCAUAUGGGGCCUUCUCUGGCUGUGUGAGCCUUGCAGAGAACUUAUGAUUUGGAGAGGCCCAGUGGCUAGCAUGCCAGAGGCAGACGCUGGAGCAGAGAUGACACUCCCAAGACACUACACGCCAACCUGCUGUUUAUCCACAUUCUCUGGGAAGUCAUGGAGAUAUGAUUCAACCAUAUGUUCAUACACAACGUGAAACCUUCAUGAGACAUAGGCUGCUUGCCAGGUGCCUAUCUCCCUUCCUUCUUCUUUUCUAUUCUUCCUCUGAAGUACUGAUUUUGGCGAAUCAUAGAGACCAAAUUGGGGAAGUUAUAUUGUAUUUUCUUUAGUAUUUGAAAUGGU